rnacentral:tRNA from 1 species
ACAAGUAAUAAGACAAUUGGUAAAUAAGUCUACGACUCAAAAUCGUGUUCCUCACGGAGUGCCGGUUCGACCCCGGCCACCGGUA